GUGUGAGUACGGUACCAGCCUACGACGGGUAGCCGGCCUGAGAGGGUGACCGGCCACACUGGGACUGAGACACGGCCCAGACUCCUACGGGAGGCAGCAGUGGGGAAUAUUGCACAAUGGGCGCAAGCCUGAUGCAGCAACGCCGCGUGAGGGACGACGGCCUUCGGGUUGUAAACCUCUUUUAGCAGGGAAGAAGCGAAAGUGACGGUACCUGCAGAAAAAGCACCGGCUAACUACGUGCCAAGGC
rnacentral:rRNA from 1 species